rnacentral:sRNA from 1 species
UCGCAUAAGCAGAAGCACCCGCUUCUCACCUGACCGAUAGUUGUCGGCUGGUCGGCGAUACCUGUAGCCGGAUGGCUCUCCUUGCGAGAG